rfam:Catonella morbi ATCC 51271 genomic scaffold Scfld1, whole genome shotgun sequence.
GCUAUUUGAGGUGGUAGAUUUCGUCCGGACCACACGCCGCCGGCAAGACAGGGAAACCGAGAGAUGCAGGAGAAGCGGACGCCUGCCGAAUAGC